rnacentral:lncRNA from 10 species
UCUCCACUCAAGGCAGAUGGUUCUUAGACCAAAAAAAAAUCUCCUUCCAGCCUCACAGGCCCAUUCUAUUCUGUCGUCAUUUCAUAACCUCUUCCAUGUAGGUUACAAGCUGUUAGCCCACCUCUUAAAACCUCUCGUUUCCUUUCCAUCAUGAAAAUUUAUCCCCAACCCGCCACUCUUGACUGCCUCUUGGAGUGCACAGACAAUCUUUGCUGACAGGACACACUCCAAUACUUUCACCCUGAUGAAGUCCUAUUCUUUACUUUUAUACUCACUCUUAUUCUCGUUCCUGUUCUUAUGCCACCCUCUACCUCUCCCCAGCUAUCUCCACCACACUAUCAAUCUCACUCACUCUCUCCUACCCGUUUCUAAUCCUUCUUUAACAAACAAUUGCUGGCUUUGCAUUUCUCUUUCCUCAAAACUCGCCAAGGCCCUGACUUACUCACUGCUAAAAAAAAAGGGGGACUCUGUAUAUUUUUAAAUGAAGAGUGUUGUUUUUACCUAAAUCAGUCUGGCCUGGUAAACAGUAUCAAAAAACUCAAGGAUAGAGCCCAAAAACUUGCCAACCAAGCAAAUAAUUAACACUGAACCCCUCUGGACACUCUCUAAUUGGAUGUCCUGGGUACUCCCAAUUCUUAAUCCUUUAAUACCUACUUUUCUCCUUCUUUUAUUCGUGCCUUGUGUCUUCUGUUUAGUUUCUCAAUUCAUACAAAACUGCAUCCAGGCCAUCACCAAUAAUUCUAUAGGACAAACGCUCCUUCUAACAACCCCACAAUAUCACCCCUUACCCCAAAGCCUUUCUUCAGUUUAAUCUCUCCUACUGUAGGUUCCCAUGCCACCCCUAAUCCCGCUGGAAGCAGCCCUGAGAAACAUCACCCAUUAUCUCUCCAUACUACCCCCCAAAAUUUUCACCACCCCAACACUUCACCACUAUUUUGUUUUGUUUUGUUUUUUAUUAAUAUAAGACAGGAAUGUCAGGCCUCUGAUCCCAAGCUAAGCCGUCAUAUCCCCUGUGACCUGCACGUAUACAUCCAGAUGGCCUGAAGCAACUGAAGAUCCACAAAAGAAGGGAAAAUAGCCUUAACUGAUGACAUUCCACCACUGUGAUUUGUUCCUGCCCCACCCUAACUGAUAAGAUAUAGUCUCCCCAACCCUUAAAAAGUUAAUCAAAAUAGAGAAAGACUC